rnacentral:rRNA from 1 species
AGCGAGGCGGCAAGCGAAGGAAAGGAAGGAGCAUACAGAAGUAUGUGACUGACUUUACGAGCGCAGGCAACGCCGCUGAUGCGAUAAAGAAUUGCGUACAGAGCACAAAGAAUUU